rnacentral:rRNA from 1 species
UCCGGUUGAUCCUGCCGGACCCCACUGCUAUCGGGGUGGGACUAAGACAUGCUAGUCGUGCGCCUCCAAGCCACGGUGGAGGCGCGGCGCACAGCUCAGUAACACGUGGCUAACCUACCCUUGGGACAGGGACAACCCCGGGAAACUGGGGCUAAUCCCCGAUAGGUGAGGACUCCUGGAAUGGGUCCUCGCUGAAAGGGCGUCUAGACCAUGCUUCUAGACGCUGCCCAAGGAUGGGGCCGCGGCCGAUCAGGUUGUUGGUGAGGUAACGGCUCACCAAGCCUAAGACCGGUACGGGCCGUGAGAGCGGGAGCCCGGAGAUGGACACUGAGACAAGGGUCCAGGCCCUACGGGGCGCAGCAGUCGCGAAACCUCCGCAAUACGCGAAAGCGUGACGGGGCCACCCCGAGUGCCGUCCGCUGAGGACGGCUUUUCCCCAGUGUAGACAGCUGGGGGAAUAAGGGGAGGGCAAGUCGGGUGUCAGCCGCCGCGGUAAUACCCGCUCCCCGAGUGGUGGGGACGCUUAUUGGGCCUAAAGCAUCCGUAGCCGGCUGGACAAGUCCCCUGUUAAAUCCAGCGAUUUAAUCGCUGGACUGCGGGGGAUACUGUCCAGCUAGGGGGCGGGAGAGGCCGGCGGUAUUCCCGGGGUAGGGGUGAAAUCUUAUAAUCCCGGGAGGUCCACCAGUGGCGAAGGCUGCCGGCUGGAACGCGCCCGACGGUGAGGGAUGAAAGCUGGGGGAGCGAACCGGAUUAGAUACCCGGGUAGUCCCAGCUGUAAACGAUGCGGGCUAGGUGUUGGCACGGCUACAAGCCGUGUCAGUGCCGUAGGGAAGCCGUUAAGCCCGCCGCCUGGGGAGUACGGCCGCAAGGCUGAAACUUAAAGGAAUUGGCGGGGGAGCACCACAAGGGGUGAAGCUUGCGGUUUAAUUGGAGUCAACGCCGGG